UCUUCCGUAGUAUAGUGGUCAGUAUGUGAGCUUUUCAACCACAAACGCUCGAGAGCCGGGUUCAAUUCCCGGCGGGAGAG